ACGGGAGGCAGCAGUGGGGAAUAUUGCACAAUGGGCGAAAGCCUGAUGCAGCAACGCCGCGUGAAGGAUGAAGGUCUUCGGAUUGUAAACUUCAAAAACCAGGGAAGAAACACGACGGUACCUGGUGUUAAGCCCCGGCUAACUACGUGCCAGCAGCCGCGGUAAUACGUAGGGGGCAAGCGUUAUCCGGAAUUAUUGGGCGUAAAGAGUGCGUAGGUGGUUACCUAAGCAGGGGGUGAAAGGCACUGGCUCAACCAAUGUCAGCCCCCUGAACUGGGCUACUUGAGUGCAGGAGAGGAAAGUGGAAUUCCUAGUGUAGCGGUGAAAUGCGUAGAUAUUAGGAGGAACACCAGUGGCGAAGGCGACUUUCUGGACUGUUACUGACACUGAGGCACGAAAGUGUGGGGAGCAAACAGGAUUAGAUACCCUGGUA
rnacentral:rRNA from 1 species